rnacentral:sRNA from 1 species
CUUUAACAAUCUGGAACAAGCUGAAAAUUGAAACAUGACAGCUGAACAUGCAUUGGUACCUUCAGGUAUGAAUGGCGUGUCAGUGUGUCAAUGAGUCUCUCAAAUAAUCGCAGCACGACAGUGACUUUGAUUAAUCAAAGACACCUUCGG